GACGAACGCUGGCGGCGUGCUUAAUACAUGCAAGUCAACGACUUUUAAGAUAGCAAUAUUUUAAGGGAGUGGCGCACGGGUGAGUAACACGUAGGCAAUCUACCUUUAGGACUGACACAACUCGUCGAAAGACGGGCUAAUAUCAGAUAAUGCAGCGGCUCCGCAUGGAGACAGUUGUUAAAGUACAAGCGCCUGAAGAUGAGCCUGCGGUCCAUUAGCUAGUUGGUAGAGUAACGGCCUACCAAGGCAACGAUGGAUAGCUGGUCUGAGAGGAUGAUCAGCCACACUGGAACUGAAGACACGGUCCAGACUCCUACGGGAGGCAGCAGUAAGGAAUAUUGCUCAAUGGCCGAAGGCUGAAGCAGCAACGCCGCGUGAAGGAUG
rnacentral:rRNA from 1 species